rnacentral:rRNA from 1 species
CCUACGGGAGGCUGCAGUGGGGAAUAUUGGACAAUGGGGGCAACCCUGAUCCAGCCAUGCCGCGUGUGUGAAGAAGGCCCUCGGGUUGUAAAGCACUUUCAGUGAGGAAGAACGCCUGGUGGUUAAUACCCAUCAGGAAAGACAUCACUCACAGAAGAAGCACCGGCUAACUCCGUGCCAGCAGCCGCGGUAAUACGGAGGGUGCGAGCGUUAAUCGGAAUUACUGGGCGUAAAGCGCGCGUAGGUGGCUUGAUAAGCCGGUUGUGAAAGCCCCGGGCUCAACCUGGGAACGGCAUCCGGAACUGUCAAGCUAGAGUGUAGGAGAGGAAGGUAGAAUUCCCGGUGUAGCGGUGAAAUGCGUAGAGAUCGGGAGGAAUACCAGUGGCGAAGGCGGCCUUCUGGACUGACACUGACACUGAGGUGCGAAAGCGUGGGUAGCAAACAGGAUUAGAUACCCCAGUAGUC